rnacentral:misc_RNA from 1 species
AACUCUCAACCCCCUUGUUUUGUAAUGAAGCAGGCGUGGGCUUGGCUUAUGGCUGUCUGCUGGACUCUUUAAGUAGAGACCGGCUCGGCUGAAAUACACGAGUAACCCAGUUUGAAUAUUAACGGUUUGACUCGGCGUAAUAGCUUUAUUUCGCUGAGGACGUUUCAUAUCAAGAUAGUGGUGCUUCUAAUGCGUCGUAGCGUCAGCUGCACACCUUUAAGC